rnacentral:rRNA from 1 species
UUAUACAAUGGAGAGUUUGAUCCUGGCUCAGGAUGAACGCUGGCGGCAGGCUUAAUACAUGCAAGUUGAACGGUAACAUGUUGUAGCAAUACGAUGAUGACGAGUGGCGCACGGGUGCGUAACACGUGUGUAACCUACCUUAUACAGGAACAUAACGUUGAGAAAUCGGCGCUAAUAUUCCAUAAUAUUAUUUAUAGGCAUCUAUAGAUAAUUAAAACCCCGGUGGUAUAAGAUGGGCACGCGUUCCAUUAGCUAGUUGGUAAGGUAACGGCUUACCAAGGCCACGAUGGAUAGGGGUUCUGAGAGGAUACACCCCCACACUGGAACUGAGACACGGUCCAGACUCCUACGGGAGGCAGCAGUAAGGAAUAUUGGGCAAUGGAGGCAACUCUGACCCAGCCAUGCCGCGU